GAUGAACGCUAGCGGGAGGCCUAACACAUGCGAGCCGAGCGGUAGAGUCUCUUCGGGGAUUUGAGAGCGGCGUACGGGUGCGUAACACGUGUGCAACCUGCCUCUAUCUGGGGGAUAGCCUUCCGAAAGGAAGAUUAAUACCCCAUAAUAUAAUGAUUGGCAUCAAUUAUUAUUGAAAACUCCGGUGGAUAGAGAUGGGCACGCGCAAGAUUAGAUAGUUGGUGGGGUAACGGCCCACCAAGUCGAUGAUCUUUAGGGGUCCUGAGAGGGAGAUCCCCCACACUGGUACUGAGACACGGACCAGACUCCUACGGGAGGCAGCAGUGAGGAAUAUUGGACAAUGGGUGGAAGCCUGAUCCAGCCAUCCCGCGUGAAGGACGACGGCCCUAUGGGUUGUAAACUUCUUUUGUACAGGGAUAAACCUCCCCUCGUGAGGGGAGCUGAAGGUACUGUACGAAUAAGCACCGGCUAACUCCGUGCCAGCAGCCGCCGCAGUAA
rnacentral:rRNA from 1 species